rnacentral:rRNA from 1 species
CCCGGUGAAUUUUAAACGGCCGCAGUUGAGAGCUGUGCUAAGGUAGCGUAGUAAGUUGUCCUUUAAAUGGGGAAAGGAAUGAAUGGUUUGACGUGAGAAGUCCUGUCUCUAGUGAAUAAAAUGAAAUUUUCUUCCCAGUGAAAAGCCUGGGAUUUAAUUAAAAGACGAGAAGACCCUUUCGAGCUUGAUUAAGAGUUUAAGAUUUUGAACUUAAAAGUUUGGUUGGGGCAACCUAGGAGCAAAACUAGACUCCUUCAGGUUUUAUGGAUCCAGAUUUUUUGAAAAAAGAAAAAGCUACCGUAGGGAUAACAGCGUUAUCCUUUCCGAGAGAACAAAUUGAAGAAAGG